UUAACUGAAACCAAAAUAGAGGUAUAUUACUGUUAAUAAUAAAAUUGAAUUAUGAAUUCCAGUUAAG
rnacentral:tRNA from 1 species